rnacentral:misc_RNA from 1 species
UCCGAGUUGACCCCGGCAGUCUCCUAUGAGUCCCCACCAUGACGUGCUGGCAACAUAGAACGAGGGUUGCGCUCGUUGCGGGACUUAACCCAACAUCUCACGACACGAGCUGACGACAACCAUGCACCACCUGUGCACGGCCCUUGCGGACCCACCAUCUCUGGAGGAUUUCCCUGCAUGUCAAGCCUUGGUAAGGUUCUUCGCGUUGCGUCGAAUUAAGCCACAUGCUCCGCUGCUUGUGCGGGCCCCCGUCAAUUCCUUUGAGUUUUAGCCUUGCGGCCGUACUCCCCAGGCGGAGUGCUUAAAGCGUUAGCUGCGCCACUGACGGGCAAGCCCGCCAACGGCUAGCAUUCAUCGUUUACGGCGUGGACUAC